CGCUUAAUAAUAGCUAAAGUAAUUAA
rnacentral:rRNA from 1 species